GGCUCAGGAUGAACGCUGGCGGUAUGCUUAACACAUGCAAGUCGAACGAUGUUUUAGGACAUAGUGGCGGACGGGUGAGUAACGCGUAAGAAUCUACCUUCAGGUUUGGGACAACCAUUGGAAACGGUGGCUAAUACCGAAUGUGCCGAGAGGUGAAAGGCUUGCUGCCUGAAGAAGAGCUUGCGUCUGAUUAGCUAGUUGGUGGGGUAAGAGCCUACCAAGGCGACGAUCAGUAGCUGGUCUGAGAGGAUGAUCAGCCACACUGGGACUGAGACACGGCCCAGACUCCUACGGGAGGCAGCAGUGGGGAAUUUUCCGCAAUGGGCGAAAGCCUGACGGAGCAAUACCGCGUGAGGGAGGAAGGCUCUUGGGUUGUAAACCUCUUUUCUCAGGGAAGAAUAAAUGACGGUACCUGAGGAAUAAGCAUCGGCUAACUCCGUGCCAGCAGCCGCGGUAAUACGGAGGAUGCAAGCGUUAUCCGGAAUGAUUGGGCGUAAAGGGUCCGCAGGUGGUAGUGUAAGUCUGCUGUUAAAGAGUCACGCUCAACGUGAUAAAAGCAGUGGAAACUACACAACUAGAGUACGGUAGGGGCAGAAGGAAUUCCUGGUGUAGCGGUGAAAUGCGUAGAUAUCAGGAAGAACACCGGUGGCGAAAGCGUUCUGCUAGACCUGUACUGACACUGAGGGACGAAAGCUAGGGGAGCGAAUGGGAUUAGAUACCCCAGUAGUCCUAGCCGUAAACGAUGGAUACUAGGUGUGGCUUGUAUCGACCCGAGCCGUACCGUAGCUAACGCGUUAAGUAUCCCGCCUGGGGAGUACGCACGCAAGU
rnacentral:rRNA from 1 species